rnacentral:miRNA from 1 species
AGACUUGGAGCGCUCGAUGGC